rnacentral:rRNA from 1 species
UACGUAGGGUUCGAGCGUUGUCCGGAAUUAUUGGGCGUAAAGGGCAGGUAGGUGGUCUCGUUUGUCUAGGGUGAAAGCCUUGAGCUUAACUCAAGAAGUGCCCUAGAAACGGCGAGACUAGAGUUCUGGAGAGGGUCGUGGAAUUCCCGGUGUAGCGGUGAAGUGCGUAGAGAUCGGGAGGAACACCAGAGGCGAAGGCGGCGACCUGGACAGAUACUGACACUCAACUGCGAAAGCAUGGGGAGCAAACAGG